rnacentral:rRNA from 1 species
GAUGAACGCUGGCGGCGUGCCUAACACAUGCAAGUCGAACGAAGCGAUUUAACGGAAGUUUUCGGAUGGAAGUUGAAUUGACUGAGUGGCGGACGGGUGAGUAACGCGUGGGUAACCUGCCUUGUACUGGGGGACAACAGUUAGAAAUGACUGCUAAUACCGCAUAAGCGCACAGUAUCGCAUGAUACAGUGUGAAAAACUCCGGUGGUACAAGAUGGACCCGCGUCUGAUUAGCUAGUUGGUAAGGUAACGGCCCACCAAGGCGACGAUCGGUAGCCGGACUGAGAGGUUGAACGGCCACAUUGGGACUGAGACACGGCCCAG